GGGCGGUUAGCUCAGCUGGUUAGAGCGAGUGCUUUACACGCAUUAGGUCGGGGGUCCGAAUCCCUCACCGCCCACCA
rnacentral:tRNA from 1 species